AUUGAACGCUGGCGGCAGGCUUAACACAUGCAAGUCGAGCGGAGAGAGGUAGCUUGCUACUGAUCUUAGCGGCGGACGGGUGAGUAAUGCUUAGGAAUCUGCCUAUUAGUGGGGGACAACAUUUCGAAAGAAAUGCUAAUACCGCAUACGUCCUACGGGAGAAAGCAGGGGAUCUUCGGACUUUGCGCUAAUAGAUGAGCCUAAGUCGGAUUAGCUAGUUGGUGGGGUAAAGGCCUACCAAGGCGACGAUCUGUAGCGGGUCUGAGAGGAUGAUCCGCAACCCUGGGACUGAGACACGGCCCAGACUCCUACGGGAGUCAGCAGUGGGGAAUAUUGGACAAUGGGCGGAAGCCUGAUCCAGCCAUGCCGCGUGUGUGAAGAAGGUCUUCGGAUUGUAAAGCACUUUAAGUUGGGAGGAAGGGCAGUAAGUUAAUACCUUGCUGUUUUGACGUUACCAACAGAAUAAGCACCGGCUAACUUCGUGCCAGCCGCCGCGGUAAAAC
rnacentral:rRNA from 1 species